rnacentral:lncRNA from 1 species
GAUGUGCUCUGAUUAGUACAAUAUUUGGGGUCUCAGCAGUUUUACUGAAAAAUCCCAGAACCACCUUUUGUGGGGCUCAGAAAGGAGACUGUGAUGAGAACUGCGCUCAUCCUUCCUGCAUCCAGACCACCAGAGAAGAGGGUCUGUACAACACAGGGCUGUGAUGGGGACUGUCACACUGCAGACUGGGAGUGGAGGCCAGUGGAGAUCAAAUCCAGUACAAGCAGGGCUGGGACAGGCUGUGGGCCAGGCAGGGAGAAUCUCGUCAGCUGACAGCAAAUAACUCCCCAACACUGAGAAGGACUCUUCAGGAUGUAUUUCUUCUUUUCAUUCCUCCUUUGAAGAACAUGUCCCUUCUGUACCAUCCUCCUUGGUCUUCUCCAAAGAAUUUUUUUUCUUGGACUCAG